GACGAACGCUGGCGGCGUGCUUAACACAUGCAAGUCGAACGAAGUGGCGAACGGGUGAGUAACUGGUAAUCAACCUGCCCUUCGGCGGGGAACACCAGUUGAAACCGACUGCUAAUCCGGCAUACUGAGGGGGGGGUUUGCGUCGGAUUAGCUAGUUGGGGGGGUAACGGCCCACAAAGGCGAUGAUCAGUAGCCGGUCUGAGAGGAUGAACGGCCACAUUGGGACUGAGACACGGCCCAGACUCCUACGGGAGGCAGCAGGGGGGAAUCUUCCGAAAUGGACGAAAGUCUGACGGAGCAACGCCGCGUGAGUGAUGACGGCCUUCGGGUUGGAAAGCUCUGUUAAUCGGGACGCAGUACCGGAAUAGAAAGCCACGGCUAACUACGUGCCAGCCGCCGCGGUAAUAC
rnacentral:rRNA from 1 species